CAGCAGCCGCGGGAAUACGUAGGGUGCAAGCGUUAAUCGGAAUUACUGGGCGUAAAGCGUGCGCAGGCGGUUCGCUAAGACAGAUGUGAAAUCCCCGGGCUCAACCUGGGAACUGCAUCUGUGACUGCAUAGCUAGAGUACGGUAGAGGGGGAUGGAAUUCCGCGUGUAGCAGUGAAAUGCGUAGAUAUGCGGAGGAACACCGAUGGCGAAGGCAAUCCCCUGGACCUGUACUGACGCUCAUGCACGAAAGCGUGGGGAGCAAACAGGAUUAGAUACCCCAGUAGUCCCUGUCUCUUAUAA
rnacentral:rRNA from 1 species